rnacentral:rRNA from 1 species
CGGCCGGGAACUCAAAGGAGACUGCCAGUGAUAAACUGGAGGAAGGUGGGGAUGACGUCAAGUCAUCAUGGCCCUUACGACCAGGGCUACACACGUGCUACAAUGGCGCAUACAAAGAGAAGCGACCUCGCGAGAGCAAGCGGACCUCAUAAAGUGCGUCGUAGUCCGGAUUGGAGUCUGCAACUCGACUCCAUGAAGUCGGAAUCGCUAGUAAUCGUGGAUCAGAAUGCCACGGUGAAUACGUUCCCGGGCCUUGUACACACCGCCCGUCACACCAUGGGAGUGGGUUGCAAAAGAAGUAGGUAGCUUAACCUGCGGGAGGGCGCUUACCACUUUGUGAUUCAUGACUGGGGUGAAGUCGUAACAAGGUAACCGUAGGGGAACCUGCGGUUGGAUCACCUCCUUACCUGAAAGAA